UACGGGGGGGCAAGCGUUGUUCGGAAUUACUGGGCGUAAAGGGUUCGUAGGUGGCUUGUUAAGUCAGACGUGAAAUCCCUCGGCUCAACCGGGGAACUGCGUCUGAGACUGAUGAGCUCGAGUGCAGGAGAGGAACGCGGAAUUCCAGGUGUAGCGGUGAAAUGCGUAGAUAUCUGGAGGAACACCGGUGGCGAAGGCGGGUCUCUGGGCCAUAACUGACGCUGAGGAGCGAAAGCGUGGGGAGCGAACAGG
rnacentral:rRNA from 1 species